rnacentral:rRNA from 1 species
UACGGGGGGGAGCAAGCGUUGUCCGGAAUUAUUGGGCGUAAAGAGCUCGUAGGCGGUCUGUCGCGUCUGCUGUGAAAACUCAGGGCUUAACCCCGAGCCUGCUUCUGAUACGGGCAGACUAGAGGUAUGCAGGGGAGAACGGAAUUCCUGGUGUAGCGGUGAAAUGCGCAGAUAGUCGUAAGGAAGACCAGUGGCGAAGGCGGGGUCUCUGGACAGUUCCCUGACGCUGAGGCACGAAGGUCAGGGGAGCAAACGGG